AUGAAUCCCAAGUGGUGUGAAUGGGCAGUCCUUGACCAGAUUGCCUUAGUUUUUGGGCUCUUGAUUGAUGUAGACUGGGAGCACAUGUUUAAAACCUUCUAUGAAUCAAUCAGGAUCAAAGUGGUGUGUAAAGACAGUAGUAGGAUCCCUCUAGAAAGGCUCUUCUUCCUAGAUGGAGAAUUCUACAUGAUAGGGAUAGAAGUAGAACCAAACACUGAUCAAAAUGGCUCUGUGAUGAACAACCAAGCUCCUACCAGUGACAUUACCAUAGAUGCUCCUGGCACUGACAAGAGCCAAAGCUCAAAAAACUCUGAUAAUGGCUCUGACAAAGGAUCCAAGACAAGUAUCUCCUCACUAACCUCACUUGGGAGGGGGACUGGAAACCAAGUUGGAAAUCAAUGUGGGCUACCAGGGGCAGGAAUGGAGGUUGAAAUGCUUGCUUCACCAACUAGGCUGAUGGACAGUGUGCCACCUCCUCUACAUGAAGCUAGGAGGGAGCUUCUUGAUCUCAUCACCAAGGAUCUGCCAGAUGAAGAGCAAUGCUUCAACCUGCUUAGAGACAUGGACCUGGUUGAUGAUACUGGGCACUACAACUAUGAUAUAUCUGACUGUGAAGUGGCUGAGGGUGAAGACACUCUUCAAGAUCUCCCAGAUCAGGGACUCCAAGACCAAAACCAAGAGACUGUUCCACACACAGCACAGACACAUAAAGAGAAGAAGAAAUGGGGGCCAGUUCCUGUUACCAGACACAACGAGAGGGUGGAUACAGGGGGGAGAACCAUCUUGGAAAGGGCUCAGAAGCUCAAGGAGGUCCAAAACCUGGAAAAACCUAAAAGCAAAGAUAGGGUGGAGGAUCCUGAAGGCGCUAAGAUCAUGGAUGAUACUUCUGCCGACCCAGCAACAAAGAUAGCUGGAAGCCUUUUUGACUCACCUGCUGCAUUACCUCAAACAGCCGCUGAGGAUAAAAGGUGGAUAACCUCUCUGGACACGCAAGCUUGCUUGGGGGGUCUCAGUCUGUCAGAUGAUGAAGGACCGGUGUCCCCUACCAGCGAGAAGAAGCCAGGGAAGCACAACAUCAUCAGCCCGGUCUCAGUUCUGGAGAUGGGGGUGUGGUCCCCAUCACCCGGGGUGGCGCCGAUGAAAAGGGUCAAGAAGAUGACGCCAACGGGCUCAGUGAAACCGAAGCUGCAGAUCAUGAUGUAA
rnacentral:rRNA from 1 species